UCAGUUUGAGGUUACGUUAAUCAAAACAAACUUCUAAUUACUAAAACGGGUAUGUAUAUGCAAAAGACUGAACUUCUACUACAUGACCCCCCCUGACUUGAAAGCUGGAUCCGCGGCUGAUGGUAGGGUAAUUUAAUAAAUCUUACAACUGGGUAUGGGAGUCGUGACUGAUCAAAAAAUACCUUACGUAAUUUAUGGACGGCCCUUAAUAUGAAUAGGGAGCUAUGAUAAAAUAUCAUUAUUUCAAUUUCUUCAAACUUACUUAAGGAACUAUCAUGGACAAGGAUUUGUAAAUAGAAACGAAUCAUUACAGUAUAUGGCUUUUAUCUGUCUGUUUUCAAUUUUAUAAUGUUUUUAUAGACACUUUUUUUUUUAUUGUUGUUUGGCUAGAGGCAAGAGGAUAAAAAUCUUCUCGACGACACCCAGCAUCCCGAGACACUGGAUAGUGUUGGAUUCUUACCAAGUAAAAAACCCUCAUUUUGGAACUGCAAGUUUUCAGGAGUUUCUCCUUUGAAACUUGUGGUUCCGUUUAAAAAUGCGUCAGAUCCGGUAUCCGUAUGCCAUCACAUCACAUUCUCUCCACACUAGCUGCUUGCUAGAUGAGCACAGAACAUACCCCAGGGGGGAUAUUUUGUGCUAGAUGAGCAUCUUAACUAACUAGACAAGUAACUUGUCUCU